CACGUAGGGGGCAAGCGUUGUCCGGAAUUAUUGGGCGUAAAGAGCUCGUAGGCGGUUUGUCACGUCUGCUGUGAAAUCCCGAGGCUCAACCUCGGGCCUGCAGUGGGUACGGGCAGACUGGAGUGCGGUAGGGGAGAAUGGAAUUCCUGGUGUAGCGGUGGAAUGCGCAGAUAUCAGGAGGAACACCGAUGGCGAAGGCAGUUCUCUGGGCCGUAACUGACGCUGAGGAGCGAAAGCGUGGGGAGCGAACAGG
rnacentral:rRNA from 1 species